rnacentral:rRNA from 1 species
AGCCAUUCCAUUAAAGAGUGCGUAAUAGCUCACUGGUCGAGUCGGUUUGCGCGGAAGAUUUAACGGGGCUAAACUAUAUACCGAAGCUGCGGAUCGCAAUUUAUUGCGAUGGUAGGAGAGCGUUCUGUAAGCCGUUGAAGGUGAACUGAGAGGUUUGCUGGAGGUAUCAGAAGUGCGAAUGCUGACAUGAGUAACGAUAAAGGGGGUGAAAAACCCCCUCGCCAGAAGUCCAAGGUUUCCUACGCAACGUUAAUCGGCGUAGGGUUAGUCGGCCCCUAAGGCGAGGCAGAAAUGCGUAGUCGAUGGGAAACGGGUUAAUAUUCCCGUACUUCAUAUAACUGCGAUGGGAAGACGGAGUAGGUUAGCUCAGCAAGGCGAUGGUUGUCCUUGUUCAAGCGUGUAGAAAUGGUUCUUAGGAAAAUCCGGGAACCUCUAUUUCAAGGCGUGAUAACGAUCCCUCUUUUGGGAGAAGUGAGUAAUACCAUGCUUCCAGGAAAAUCCUCUAAGCUUCAGGUUAUAUGAAACCGUACCCCAAACC